AGCCUUGGUGAGGGUCUUGGCGGUCUAGUGGGUGUGCUCAGUUCUUACUGGCCUGCUAAGUCCCAAGCUAUGGU
rnacentral:pre_miRNA from 1 species